rnacentral:tRNA from 1 species
UCCGUGAUAGUUUAAUGGUCAGAAUGGGCGCUUGUCGCGUGCCA